AUAUUUAUUUCUAAUCUGAGUUCAGAACUUGAUAUCUAAGCAUGGACCAAUGAUCAUCAUUAUUGAGAGAUAUGAUAAGGAUGAUCUUUGCUGAUUGCUUAUAGCCGCACACGCAUUCGACCUAUAUAAAAAGUCGACUCAAAGCUCCGAUCUGAUAGAUCUUCUCAAGAGUGCUAGCUCAUGUGAAGAUCUUCUUCUUGGCUGAUCUGGAUUUCUUCUUCAAAUAUCUGAAAUCUUUUUAGAGAUUGAAGAUGGAUUUCUAGAGGAAAAGAAGAGAUAGAAAAAAGAUGGAGAAGAAAUCCUAGAAGACUAGAUUUUGCGCACACCCC
rnacentral:lncRNA from 1 species